UAUUCUCCCUUCAUCUCCUCCUCCAGGAAGGACCCCCCCAGCCCCGAGCUGCUCUCAGCCCUGCAGGAGCUGCUGCGCAUGGCAGGGGGGGCUCCGGGGGGGCUGCCCCUGCUGGACCCAGUGGGAGCCCUGCAGCUGCGGGCCCCCUGCUGUGGAGGCAGCUGCCCGUGCCCGAAGCCUGGGGGCGGCCCUGGGGGGGUUCCGCUGUGUGCACGGCCCCCGCUUUCCCCAGCUGUACUCGCAGUUUGCUGCCCGGCGCCGGCUGCAGGAACAGGUGGAGCAGCUCCAGUACCAGCUGUCGGACCGCUCCCUGCUGCUGCUGCCCGAGUACCGCCAGCGCCUCGGCGUGCUGCGGGCUCUGGGUUACGUGGCCGAGGGGGGUGCGGUGCAGCUCCCCGGGCGUGUGGCCGCGCUGC